CUCUGUGCCUGAGCCUGUUGCUAGGGGAAGCUUUGAGGGGGCGCGGGUGGAAGGAAAGAGGCCGUGAUUUGCGCCUGCGUGCAGCGUAGAAGCUGGGAGGGGUAAGGGAAAGCUGCUGCUGGGAGCGGAAAAGGCGGGAAAGUGGACCGUCCAGAGUUCUCGGCAGACACAACAUCUUUGUUGGUAUGCGGUGCUGAGGAUCGAACCCCGGGCUGCAUGCAUGCCAGGACUAGAGUAAAGAACCUCACCUGAGAACAAGGCAGGAACUAGGCCAGUGCCCUCAGAGCCGGGUUCUAGACCAGUGGGACUCCCGGCGCGGGUGGAAGCACACAGCAGUGAC